rnacentral:rRNA from 1 species
CCUACGGGUGGCUGCAGUGGGGAAUAUUGCACAAUGGGCGCAAGCCUGAUGCAGCCAUGCCGCGUGUGUGAAGAAGGCCUUCGGGUUGUAAAGCACUUUCAGCGGGGAGGAAGGCGUUAAGGUUAAUAACCUUGGCGAUUGACGUUACCCGCAGAAGAAGCACCGGCUAACUCCGUGCCAGCAGCCGCGGUAAUACGGAGGGUGCAAGCGUGAAUCGGAAUUACUGGGCGUAAAGCGCACGCAGGCGGUCUGUCAAGUCGGAUGUGAAAUCCCCGGGCUCAACCUGGGAACUGCAUUCGAAACUGGCAGGCUAGAGUCUUGUAGAGGGGGGUAGAAUUCCAGGUGUAGCGGUGAAAUGCGUAGAGAUCUGGAGGAAUACCGGUGGCGAAGGCGGCCCCAUGGACAAAGACUGACGCUCAGGUGCGAAAGCGUGGGGAGCAAACAGGAUUAGAUACCCGUGUAGUC